UUUUACACCAUUAUUUAUUCACAUUUUUGGUUAAUGCUUAUAUAAACAAAUGGAUUCCACCCAGAAAAAAAAGCUUUUUGAAAACAAAGAACAUAAAUUAAAAAAAAAAAAAACAAAAAUAAGAAUGUGGAAUACUUAUUGUUAUUCAGCUGGAAUAUUAUUGGCAGGGUGACUCAUUUGUUAAUCCACAGUGCUAUAAAUAGUACUGUAACUCAAUUGAAUGGAAACAUAUCCUUCGCUAUCUCUAGUCACUUGUUUACCCAUGUAAAAUACAUAUGUUUUUGAACUGGCUUAGGUGAUUCCAGAAAGGGCUAGCAAAGUUCAGUGACUUCAUUACACAUUCAAAGCCCUUCGGCUUUCGAUUAAUUUUCUUGUACUCCUACCAUGUUGCUCACUCUGCUCAAUGCAUGGACGUAGAGGCAAUAAAAGGCUACUGUGACAACUCAGCCAGUGUUUCCUCAUAUCACGGGCCAGUGAUAGCAAGCCUUUGGCACCAAUACCAAGUUUGGUGCCAACAGGUAUUUGGUCUGGCACCAGCAGUAAGAAGCUAUGAUGGUUUCUUUUUUAGUUUGUUUGGCACCAGUAACGAGAAACAUUCACCAUUCCUGGCAAAGAGCCACAGGAUUUCACCAAACAGCUUCUGAAUCAUAACUUCGUAACAAACAUAACACAACACAACUUGUAAUUGCGGAGUCUGUCUCUUAGCAAGCAGUUCUGUCCUGAUAAUUACAUUCGGACUUAUCAAUACUUGUGCUUUCAUCUUGUAUCGGUUUCUUUCUAGCUGUUAUAAUCUUCUCAAAGAGAUCCACAAGCCUGUAAGUCCUUCAGCAUUUGGAUUUUCUUUCUCUUGCUGCAGUUAGAUGAAACCAGGUAAUCAUCCAUGAGGAAAGCCUAUGGGGACAGCUACUAAAUUAAGUCAUCACGGAAUAUGUUGUAAAUACUAUGUUGACUUAACCUCCCUCCUCACCCCUGUACUAUGUCAUGUGCCUUCUCAGACGGCAGAUCUGCAAUAUAGGUUCACCCUAUGCUGGUGUGGAGCCCCAUUCAAGCCUCUAAGGCUUAAUGCAUCUAGGAAGAAAAAAGAAUUACCUGUAAGUUAUCUGAGACUCAUGACAGCAUGAUUCCAGUUCCGGCAGCGGUUGCUAAAUGGCACAACACUUCUGAUUAGGCCUCGCAGGGGAUACCUCAGUGGAUACAGCACAGGAUGAAGACUCUGAAGAGCUCAGUUCUACAGACGGCAUUGCUACUGACUUGCCAAACAGAUUUCAGCAGGACAUCUCCCCUUCACUCCUCUUGGCUGUAAACUGGGUGAGCUCUGAGAUCUGUGUGGGAAGGACAGUGUGAGAACACGGAAUUACUUUUGUAGUACGAAGCAUUAGUAACAACAGCAAUAAUGUCAUCCUCUUCACAGGGGAAAAAUCUGUCCCUGCCCAUUCUGUCACAAUCCAGUACAAAGGAAAAAUUUGCUGAGAUGAGGACUUUUGAAUGGGACGUGAAGUGGGCACAGGGAGGAAAUGAUUCUAAGUCUUUGGGCAUGGGAAAAUUUCUUCUCAAGCAACAACUCCCAAGAAACUAAACAUUGUGUUAUAAAAAACCAAGUCAAAAUGGAAGUCCCCACUGUAAAUUCAGCUCUCGAUAUUUGCCAAAGACACAUGGGAAUCCCUACCCCAAGGGAAUGCUUGUUCCUGUGGAAAAGUGCAAAUCCGUAGAGUUCACAAUGAGGGGAUUCACGCAGACAUGCAUUCUACCUCAGUGAUCAAACUCUUCCUCUCAAGGUCUAAAUGAAUUUCCACUGACCUCCUUUCUUACAGCUUAGUCUCCAGCUGGAUUUCCUUCAACUAUAAAAAUGUAUAUAGUGUAAUUAGCCAACCUCCACAGACUCUGUAGUUCAUUUAUGCAUGCUAGGCAAGUCUCCUGCUGUGAGCAGCCCAUCCAAAGAGAACUCUUUGAACUGGUCUAUUGUUGUUCGUGUAGCGUAUUGCAUUGUCCAAUUUCAUCAUUCCUGGCAAGGCACCGCACUCCUGCAGCUUUCUACAGGAGGAGGAAAAGAGAUGAUGAAGCACUUUGUCCAGCUGCUGUGCCGGACAUCUCAGAUGUACAAAUAAGCUUGCCUACCACUAGCUAUAAGACUCGCCCAGUCAACACAGAGGUAUUUGUUGACCAACUGUGCUUAUAAGAUCUUAUCUGGAAGUACUCUCUAAUCUAGUUAGCCAUCUGGAGGGACAAGGGACAGAAAAGAGAGUAAGAAAGGAUCAAGUGAAAAAGAAAGAUCAAAAAUAGUAGUAAUAAUAAAAUCAAGUCCAUAGAGCAACCCACCUUUACGUAAUAUUCGCUGGAGUGUACAGUCAAAUCUUGGCUUAAAGUACCACGAAAGUAACACAAUGGGGUAGACCAAAAACAUACCCAAAACCACACAACGGUGUAGCAUUUUGCUACAUUUAGUGGGGGAUAAUUCCAGAACUUAAAGGUUGAGCAAAUUUCCUUUCCUUCAAACGCUCAUUGGCAAACUCUGAAAUAAAGGAGUCAAAUACUAAAGAAAAUGGGAAGCAAAGCUGUGUGUGUGAUUUGCGACCCACCAUUCACGUUUCUUUUCUUUGUUUUUGAUUAGGUACUGUUUUGGGUAGGAAAAGAGGGGGUCAUACAUCAAAAAAAAAGUGCUGCUCUGCUGCUCUCAAGAGGAAGAGACAUUCCAUUUUAGAACAAAGAAUCUGGAUUUUUUUCACAUUGCUUCACUAAAAGGUUUUUGGAGGUUUUUCUUGGGGUGAUGGGGGUGGAGUGUUUGGCUUUGCUAUAACACAGCACAUCAAAGCGCUUUUGAUGUGAAGUUUACUUAACAGAAUCAGUUUUUCCGAUGAUUGUGUUAAUCUUUAUAAACCUGAAGGCGAUACUGUGCCUUUUAAAAAACUAUAGCAGGAAAAGACUUGAGGUUACAUACACUCUCAGUGGUGAGAGACAGGAGCAGUUGUACUACUUUGCCUCUUCUUAAAACUACACCCAUUCCUUCAUGGGCAGCAAUGGCAGCGGUCUUGACUUCACUCCUGCUUGGCUUGGGAAGGUUCUCUUUAAACCAUGCUCAGCCCUCACGUAAGCACCUUCAUGUGUUUUCCCAGGUAGGAGCCACAUUGGAUUCCUGGGUCAAUUUACACAGGGAUUGGCUGAGAGGCAGCACGGAGGCCUUGAGCCCACACAAGAAUCAACGUUGAUCUUAGGAAGGUACCCCCACUCCACUAAUAGCCACUAAUAGCUAUCUCUAAUUGUGUUAUUUUGAGCACAAGCUCCUGUCCUCUCUUAAAUCCUGCAAAACCAGCUUUGCCAUCCACUCCUUGUCUUGAAGUAUGGCUGUGAAAAGCUUCUGUUAUGUCUGACGUGUUUACCUACAGCAUUUGAAUGACUUUUUAAGUUCUUUGAAUAAAGAUAAGAGACAAUGUGUACAUUUUCCACACAAAUAGUGGAACGGUAAUAAAAUAAACAUCAAAGGUAAGCUAGAAAAUCAUCACUACUUUGCUGCCAUUUAUAACAAAAGCAGGAAGAGGAAAAACCUACCCUCGCCACUGGCAUCAUCUUAGAAAACACGAGUUUUGGAAGGAACGAUGGCUUUUUCCCAUACCCUUAAACACAAACAUUGGCACCUACAGCUAACGCAGUGCUUCACUGAAAGAUCUCAGUUUACAUUGUGAGGGGAGAACAACAAGAAGCCAAGAGAGGUCUCCCUCCUCUUAUUUUUGUUCCUCAAUUGCCCAUUUUUCUCAACUGCUACAGCUUUAGUGGGAACAGGAAGGCAUCAAACCCAUUAUUAAAGUUAGAAAGAGUAUGACCAAAAAGGACAGGAGGACCUCUUACUGUUUAGUAUUUAAGACUCAAUAUGAGGCUGGGAAAAAAAAAAAAAUGACAAAGCUUUGAAAUGUUGUGCAGGUGUGUGUGGGAAUGUUUCUUCUAUUCAAAAGAGAUGGGGAACGAAAGUAGGGCUGUUUGUUUCUUCUGAGGGUCUUUCAAAUCUGCCUUCUUUUAAGUUCCUCCCCGGCACACCUUGGCAGCUGGGGCACGGCAUAGUCCCAGCCAGAGUGUCGCUGCAUUUUGGAGCAUCCAUCCUAAAAUAAGGGCUGAUUCAGAAAGACUGCUUUUGGAAAACAUGGAGCAAUCCAACUCUUACUCCAGGACACAACAUUCAAAGUGUCCAUAAGAGAAAUAGAAUAGAAGCACCACUCUGGAUUUCUGCUGAUGUUUUUGUUUUGGUACUGUUCUGCAGACGCCAGCUUUACUGCCGUAUGGAGUCAAAAAGGGGUUUUGCAAUUGACUUUGAAUGGACAGCAGGGUAGGACUGAAGUUUUCAGUGGAGUUACUGCUGUCUCCCUCUCAUCGUUGAAGCGUCCCAUCCAGCACUGCUGGAGGGGACUGAACAUCUGCCCUCAGAAAGGGGCGUAAGACCACGACGAGCGCAGAGCUGAAAGUGAACGGACAAUCGUGGUUAUUUUGUCUCGGAAGAAAAGCAGCCAGAUAAAGUCACAGAGCGCUUCGUCCCGGGUUUCAUGGAAGACUUAUAGUCGCAGCGUUAGGAAAACAUUAAAGCAAAGUCGCUUUUUAAAAAAGAAAAAAAAGAAAAAAACACAAUAAAAGAUUUUAUUGGAGAGCGACAGCUCUAACACUGCGCACAGCCAUCGGAAGGCAUCAGCAACACGCUCAAAGCCAAGGGUAAAGCUGUGGCAGCCUCUCCCGUCACGCAGCGCUGCCUACCUGCUCCCACCUCGCCCUGCACCCUUGUUAUGACGGCAGGGGAGAGGGGCCGAGGCCGUCGGCCCACACAAACCACGAGGGAUCCCCAGCUGCGGAGCGGCGCGGUGUUCCAACAGGUUGUUGCGCUGUCACAUACAUCGCAACGCGCCGCUCUGCGCGGCGCCGAGAGCGCAGAUCGAGGCGCGGCAGGUUCUGCUCUGCCACCUAUGAGCCGCUCCGCACGCUGCACCUGGAGCGGGGCUGGAGCUCCGGAUCCCGUGGAGCUCUGCUCCGCUCGGAGCGGCCGGCGUGGAGGAGGCACCCGGCAGGAGAAAAUACACUCGCGUUUCGUUAACUUUGCUACCUUUGCUUCCCCACCCACCACCCUUUCAGAUCUCCGUCCUGGCUCCGCCUCUCGCCGGCGUUAUAAUGGGCUGGUCUGAAAGUGGUGGAGAGACGCAGAACCACAGGGGAAGAGGGAGAUAAUGACAAUAACCCCAAUAACCCCCGUCACCCGGCUGCUGCCCGCGCCGCCGCGAGGAGCCGAGCGCUGACGGGGAUAAGCCGGACGGCGAGAGGAGACCUCGGCGUCUCCCGGAGCGUCGCCGGACGGGAGCGGCGGAGCGCCCC
ensembl:lncRNA